ensembl:lncRNA
AGAGAGACAGACAGAGAGAAAGCAGUGUCUCCAGAGACUGUUGUCUACUAUGAGUCAUGGUCACAUUAGCCCUCAAUCCGUCUGUCUGUUUUGUUUGUCCAUCUCAAGUUACACACACACACACACACACACACACACACACACACACACACACACACACACACACAGGAAGGGGGAAAAGAUCUCUACAGGUGUAGGAACCAAUCCAGACCAGAGUAAACAUUACUGAAUCACACCAGGGCCUGUCAUCACAAAGCAUUUCAGAGUAGGAGUGUUGAUCUAGGAUCCGGUCUCCCCUGUCCAUGUUGUGAUCUCAUUCAUUCUGAUCUAGGAUCAGGUCUCCCCUGUCCAUGUUGUAAUCUCAUUCAUUCUGAUCUAGGAUCCGGUCUCCCCUGUCCAUGUUGUAAUCUCAUUCAUUCUGAUCUAGGAUCAGGUCUCCCCUGUCCAUGUUGUAAUCUCAUUCAUGAUGAUUUACAAGUCAAACUAAUCCUAGACCAGCACUCCUACUCUGAGACUUUGUGAUUACAGGCCCAGACCUAAACAGAACCAUACUAGGUUAGACCAGACUAACAGAACCAGACCAGGCCAGACCAGACUAACAGAACAAGACCAGGCCCAGACCUAACAGAACCUUACCAAUUUGAUCAACUAUUUACAUUAAAAAAACAACUAAAGUUGUAUUACAAAAGUAGUUCGAAAUGUUUUGGCAAAGUUUACAGGUCAUUUUUGAGAUAUUUUCUAGUCACGUUGAGCAAGUUGGAACCGGUGUUUUUCUGGAUCAGACGCGCCAAAUAAAUGGACAUUUUGGAUAUAAAUCGACGGUAUUAAUCGAACAAAAGGACCAUUUGUUUAUAGGACAUAUUGGAGUGCCAACAGAAGAAGGACCAUUUGUGAUGUUUAUGGGACAUAUUGGAGUGCCAACAGAAGAAGCUCGUCAAAGGUAAGGCAUGAUUUAUAUUGUUAUUUCUGCGUUUUGUGUCGCGCCUGUAGGUUUGAAAUAUGGUUUCUCUCUUUGUUUACGGAGGUGCGAUCCUCAGAUAAUAGCAUUGUUGGCUUUCCCCCGAAAAGCCUUUUUGAAAUCUGAGAUGUUGACUGGAUUCACAACACGUGUAGCUUUAAUUUGGUAUCUUACAUGUGUGAUUUAAUGAAAGUUUGAUUUUUAUAGUCAUUUAUUUGAAUUUGGCGCUCUGCAUUUUCAAUGGCUUUUGGCCAGGUGGGACGCGUCCCACAUAUCCCAGAGAGGUUUUUAACCCAGUCCUGGAAUGGGCACAUUCCUCAAAACUGACCUGCCAUCCAGGCUCCCGUUAGAUGACGCGUUAGGUGGCUUUCCAACCGUCCAUUUAAUUCCCCUUCCCAAGUUACUCUCAGCCAAGGAGACGGCUCAGCCAAGGAGACGGCUCAGCCAAGGAGAUGGCUCAGCCAAGGAGACGGCUCAGCUCAGGGUGCAGCACGUCUUCCGGAUCCAUGGACUUUCCGGUGGACAUGGCCUCCACUUCUGGUUCUGGAAGGCGUUCUGCACCCUCAUUGGGUCGUCAGCCAGCUUGUCUUCUGGUUUCCACCCCCAAUCUAACGGCCAGUUGGAGCGAGCCAAUCAGGACCUGGCAACAGCCCUUCAUUGACUCGUCUCCUCCAACCCCACCACAUGGAGCCAGCAACUUGAACUUGAACUGCCCUGUUGAUUAAGGGCUUGUAAAGUAAGCAUUUCAUGGUAAGGUCUACACUUGUUGUAUCCAGUGCAGGUGACAAAGUUUGAUUUCUUUGGGUGGAAUACGCCCACAACAGCCUUCCCUGCUCGGCUACUGGUCUCUCACCCAACGAGUGUCUCUUGGGAUAUCAGCCCCCGCUCUUCCCUGAGCAAGAGGAGGAAGUCAGCCAUCCCUCUGCCCAGAUGUUAAUCCGCUGCUGUCUCCGUACCUGGAAGAGAGCCGGGGCUGAGCUG